rnacentral:tRNA from 1 species
GCCGAGGUGGCGGAAUUGGUAGACGCGCUAGCUUCAGAUGCUAGUGAGGGUAACUUCGUGAAGGUUCAAGUCCUUUCCUCGGCA